GCACCAUAGUGUCCUACUCCUUUGAGAGAUUAAGAGUGAUGAAGGACAGGGAUAUGAGGAAACUAGUAUGUAGCUUGGAUAUAAAUCAAGAGAUAGUUGAUGUUUUUCAAAAUGCGCGAGUCAAGUGGAGUUUGAAAUUUAGACAUGUGGAAGCAACUGAUCAUAGGAGAGAACACUUUAUAAGAUUCUAUGAGUUAAGUUUUCAGAAGAAACAUCAGGAAACUGUGUUGAAUUCUUACAUGCCAUACAUUUCAGAGCGAUCAAAGGCUAUUAGAGAAGAAUGCAAGGCAAUAACGCUCUAUCAGGUAGGCUCAGAAUAUACCGUCGAUUUCGAUCACCCAAUAACGUUUGAGACCCUUGCAAUGGAUUCAGAGAUCAAAGCAAUGGUG
rnacentral:misc_RNA from 1 species